rnacentral:rRNA from 1 species
CAUUGUAAUUUGCAGAGGAUGCUUCGGGAGUGGCCCCCAUCUAAGUGCCCUGGAACGGGCCGUCAUAGAGGGUGAGAAUCCCGUCUGGGAUGGGGUGCCCACGCCCGUGUGAAGCUCCUUCGACGAGUCGAGUUGUUUGGGAAUGCAGCUCUAAAUGGGUGGUAAAUUUCAUCUAAAGCUAAAUACUGGCCGGAGACCGAUAGCGCACAAGUAGAGUGAUCGAAAGAUGAAAAGCACUUUGAAAAGAGAGUUAAACAGCACGUGAAAUUGUUGAAAGGGAAGCGCUUGCGACCAGACUCGCCCACGGGGUUCAGCCGGCAUUCGUGCCGGUGUACUUCCCCGCGGGCGGGCCAGCGUCGGUUUGGGCGGCCGGUCAAAGGCCCUUGGAAUGUACCGCCUUCCGGGGCGGCUUAUAGCCAAGGGUGCCAUGCGGCCAGCCCGGACCGAGGAACGCGCUUCGGCUCGGACGCUGGCAUAAUGGUCGUAAGC